GGAGUUGCUUUGGGUGAUAGCUGGAUUUCUCCUGAAGAUUUUUGUUUUUCAUGGGCACCACUUCUCAAAGAGCUGUCACGAAUGGACAACAAAGGCUUGAAUGAAUCGAACAGUUUAGCUCUAAAGAUUAAGCAGCAACUAGCAGCAGGUAAAUAUGAAGAUGCUGCAAUAACAU